AUUGCUCAGUGGUAGAGCACAUGCUUAGCAUGCACGAGGUCCUGGGUUCAACCCCCAGU
rnacentral:tRNA from 1 species